UGGCGAAGUAGGGGUUGUGGGGCGCCUGAGGUGGGCUGUGCUGUGGUGGGAUAUGAGGGGGAUUUAGUAGUUUAUUAAGGGUUGUGGUGGGUCUCUAGGGGCUGUAGUGCGUUAUUAGGUGCUGUAGAGCUUGGGGUGGGGUGUAACUUGUGGCUGCAGAGCGGUGUGGGUGCUGUGGUGGGCUAUAGGGUGCGGGUGCUGUGGUGGGCUAUAGGGUGUGGCUUUGUAGGGGGCUGCAGUGAGUUUGUGGAGCUUUGAGGGGCAUUAGGGCUCUGAGGUGUAAUUUGGGGCUGUGUGUGUGUUGGUUGCCCCAUUGAUCUGUAGUGAGCUGUAGGAGGAUGCCCUGUGGGGCUUUAAUGUAGCACUGGGGCUGUAAGAGCUGACGUGGGAUGUGGGGCAGUGCCUACGGGGCUGUGGGGCUGCAGUGGGUGAUGGACACCAUAGAGCCUGGAGUUGGAUGUAGUUUGUAUCUGCAAGGCUGUAUGGGAGGUGUGGGAUCCAUCCUUUGGGGUUGUAGAGGGGCAACAGAGCCCUGAGGGGCUGCGGUGGGUUGUAGGGUCAAAGGGGGGAUGCUCUAUGAGCUGUGUGAGGAAGGAGCUGUAGCAAAACCAAGGCGUGAUGUGACCUCGUCCAGCUCCUGUGAUGAUCCCUGCUUGCUUCUUCCUGCUACGCGAAUGGACCUGAAAUUGCAAACACCCAUGUAAUUUCCAAGCAUGUAUCGAACCCCCACCAAAGUCAAGGGAAGGCUUGAGGAAUCCCUAGAGCAAUGUUGGGAUGCUUGAGAAACAAGAGGAGAGAUUUCAAGACCGGGGACAAAAACAAAACUAAAAUAACAAGAAAAACACCGAUAAGGCGACAACAAAUAAACAGCUGUCAGUUGGAAAUGACAGAUUGCAGAGAUAUUAUCAGGCAGGACAGCAAAAUGCCUGGCUAGAUUAAAUUAACACAAGGAUAUUUUUUUUUCACCAUUUAUUUUAGGAAAGCAAGUGAGAAUGCUGCAACAAAAUCUGUCCGCAGAGGAAACAUUCUUGCAGCAGCCUUGGAGGCUGAGGAUCUCAAGAGUGACGGGGAGCAGCGAGCACAUUGUCUUGAGACCCUAUUUCGGGACCUGAGGGAAUGGUGCUUCUUACUGCAUCAGCGCAGCAAAAACUUGCAUGCAAGGAGAAAAUAUUCUACCUUGGCAUUUGGAGCCUCACUAACAAGCAGCCAGAGAGGAGCGAUGCCAUAUAAAACUGUAACCUCUAAGUAUGAAAUUUUGGAGGUUGCAGCAAGCGGUGAGUGCCAGCUCCAUGCCGGCAGCAGGGAGGAGGCAGAGGGAACGCCAUCAGCUCGCUACUCGUUGCUGCACAGAGCACAUAGCCCCAGGAGUUUCUCUGCCCGGUGUCCUGUUACCACUUGAAUCAAGAUGUGAAUGCCAAGCCAGCUUAUUUUUAGCACAAUUUGGACCUAAAGAAGCAAACGCUGGUGAGAUACGCAGUACCUGACAGCCUUGGAAAAUCUUUAUUCGUUUGCAGUACAGGAAGCAGGGAAGGAUGCGAGAAAGCAAAGCAAUCCCAAGCUGCAAACCAAGUCUCCCAGCUUCUUGGGCUCAGCCUCCCUAGCACUGCACGGAUCCUGGCAGUAGCUGGGAGAGGGUUUUUCCACGCUCAGAGCAGGCCUGGCACGGCAGGGAGGAGUGCGGCGUGCCGCAGAUUUGGACAGCCUGCAAGCCUCCAGCUGAGCUCACUGCGUCUGUUGGAGCUCAACUGCAGCAGCGGUGGGGCUGUAAAAAUGGGAGAGACACGGAAAACUUGAGUAUCUGAGCCCUGCUCUUCUAAGCUCUGCGAAUUUACUGUGUUAAUUCAACACUGGAUCUGUGCAACUGGGCUGUCCAAUGGCACUGAUGCUGCCCUGUACCACCUCUAACAAUCACUCAGACCCUCUGCUCUGUGGAAAAACCCAAAAAGGGAACACUUAUGACACAACCAUCAUGCCGAGCAGGCAUGUUUCUAUCCCCAUCUCUUGGAAUCUUGCUGAAAUCUGCCAGUGCAUUUAGGCAUCUGCAGGACCUGAGCUGGCUGGGGGCUGGUGGACCCCUCUAGCAGUUGGCUGGAGUGGAGAUGGGGCCGUGAAGAGGAGCAGAGAAGCAAAGUGGGUCUGUUCAGCUUUUGGGGCACAGCUAGGAGGUCCCUGGAUGUGUGCUGGGAACAGUAGUUGGGGCUGUUGAAGGUGACCACAGGAGAUAUCCCUUGCAUCUCUCUGCCAGGAGGAUGUGCAUGCAGCGUUAACUCACUGGUCAUCAAUAGGUCUGAAAUCCAAUGACGGACAGCUCAGGGAUCUGACAAUUGUUUGUGUCUGCCUCGAGACAAAUAUCUCGUUGCCCCCUUUGCAAAUUUGCUCCUCUGCUGCGCGUGUGUUUCGAGUUUCCUCAUGCAAAACCUGCGUGGGUGUUUGGAUAUGUAAUGAGCGCAUAGUUCAGGAUGAAAACAAGUUGCCUGGAAGAGCCAAGUAACGCCAAAAAAAUGAAAGCAAUACAAACAACAACAUGGCACACAGCCAUACCAGCUAGACUGUGGGCCAGCCGGAUCUCACGUACUCUCCGGAGCUGCAGAGCCGAUCAGCUGUUGGAAAAAGAGACCUUUAAAGACAAGUGAGAGGAAAUAGCAUUGGCAGUGCAGGCCACAGUAUGUUUCCUUCCAAAGCAGGACAGAGCCAAGGACAUGAGGCAGAGCUGUAACAUUUGGGGUCUCGUUGCUCAGCAAGUCAAAAACCUCCAGUGGGUUGUAGCUGUGUAAACACCUAUUGUUUUCUGAGCAGAAUCAGAGCACUGGCCUGAUCGAGUAUUGUCACAACAGAUUUUGGCAAUGCUUGCUUACCUAAGUGAGCUCCCUCUGCAAAACUAAGCCCUGGCUUUAACUCAGUGCUGCGUGCUGGGGAAAUAAACCUGCCUGCCUACACAGCACUCCGGCUGGAGGGUAUCUUCCAAGGCCUCCCAUAGGAUCUUCGAAGAAAAACACCAUUAGCCUAUGGACCAGAGCAGAACCAGAGCAAUUCCAAAAACAUUCCCAGAGUGGCCUCACUAAUUAUUAUCUCAUUUUGUUAGCGUGAAUGGGGAAAAAAAUGUGGUGAGGCUGUUUGAAAUGCAUUUUCUGCAGAGCCUGAAUGAAUUUCUGUAUAAAAAGAGGGGUGAGAACAGGCCUCGGAGACAGGUGACGUAAUUUUUCCCUCGCCCUCAUCCAUUUGGAGCAAGGGAUCAUCUGUACCUCCUUAUAACACUGUGAAACAGUACUUCUUUCAGCUUAAGAAAAUAGGUCUAGUUGUGUAGACUCUGCUCCAAGCAUCUGCUCCUAGGCCAUUCACUUAAAUACCUGUCUGAGAACUCUUCACCAGCUCUUAGAGCACCUGUUCAUUGGUUAAAGGCUUGAAUCAGUGAAAGCUUGUUGGCAGUCUGGAAGGUUGAAAGGGGCCUUAAAUACCAGAGCUUCCAUAUGCAUAUUGGCAUUUUUCUUUGCAUAAAUGCCAGCUUUAAAAGGCUUGUUUUACAAAGCACAAACACACUUCUAUGAUGAUUUUUUUUUUUUUACAUCAAGGUCAGUAACUCAGCUUCAUUCAUCAGUCUCCAGCUGCAAACAUGCCCCAGACAAUGGAGAAGAGUGUAUCUGAGCCAGGAAGUGCCAUUUAAAGGGGAUGUGAGUGGCUCUGAACCGCACUGGGGAAAGAGGAUCUUGGUGCCCUUGUGCACUCAGCCCUGCAUGAACUGAAAUAGGGUGCUUGAGGGCAGGAAAAGCUGCUUAGGUGGGCACAAAUAACACUCACACUCAGUAAGCUUCAGUAAAAUGCACCUCUCAAAUGUCACCGCUGUGCUGUCGACUCUGGUGUGAUGCAGCCAACGUUGUGCUCCCCUCCACAAAGGCAGAGAGCGCCCGUAGGAAGCAGACAAGAUAAUCCCAGCUAAAAAUACUUAUUCUUUCCCUGGCAGGUGCUUACACCGUGUGCACGGUGUUUUCACGGUGACAUGCUUGUGUACCCGUUGCACUCUGCUCAUCUCCUGCUUCGGUGCUUCUCUUCCUUCCAAGCAAAGCGCUUGGGCAUUGUGAUUAUUGCGCUGAAUCACCCAGAGAGGAUGCUCCGUCCUGUGUUUCAGAUGCAAAAUGUGCCUUGGAAUUCAAUAGUUGCUAUAGUGCUGUAAUUACACAUUUUAUGGAGUAGUUAGUCACAAUGGCUAGAGCUGUUGUUAUCAGGCUUGGACUCCUUCUGCUGCUUUAUUUUAAAGACCUCCCUGUUAAACAUCUACUCUCUGCGUUAAAAAUAGUUUGUUUCAGCAUUUGUAUCCCUCCAAAAGUAACCACAAUUCAUGGCUGGUGGAGAACAAGUCCUCAGCUGUGUGGAGGGACAGGGUUUGUAGCCUGCUUUUUUACCAUGGGAGUUGUGAUGCUGUAGCAUUGGGUGCUCCAAAAUGCUCCUUAAAGUCAGCUGCAAUGACACCAGCUGAGUAUUUCCAGGAUUCAGGAGUUCUUGAGUGCUGAUCUCAGCAACUUUGCUGUCUAUGGUGUGGAGAGGACUUGCACAACCUGCUCAGGGCACUGUACCAACCAAGAUCCUCCUCUUCCCUUCAGCAGUAUGGAGAAAGUGAACUCCUUGGGUGCUGCUUCUAGAAGAUGACAGCCUACCACAAUGGGACACGGCUUUGGUGAGGAUGAAUCCUUGUACCAAGGUGUUGACCACUCUAGGAGAAGCUCAGCAGUAAUGCAAGCAGCUGAGAUAAGCAAGAUAAGCACCGUGCUCAACAUCCCUCCUCUGGUUGGCAGGGAUACUCACCACACUACACCAUAGGGUUGGCUUUUACCCUGUUAACCACGUCUUCUGCCCAGGUUUCCCUAUCUGGAGAGUGGAGCUAACUGCUUAAUUGCCUACUUUCUAAGGAGUCAGGCAGGAUAAUUAGCUAAUGUUUGGGUAAUGCGUCAUAGGGUAAGAGUGCUAAGUAGUAUUACUGUCAGCAGCACAGUGGGAAGUGAAGGACUCAAUCUUGUUUUUCAAUCGGGAAUGUCACGGUCUUCCCUUAAGCUCAUUGUUCACAUUGACUGCUGAGGGCAGGGGACUUGGGUGAAAAGUUUCAAGGAGGAGGAUGCCAACCAAGGGCAGCAGUGAGCUGUUAGAAUAGCUUGGUGUGCUUUGGAAAGAGAAAACUGAAAAUGAUGACAAAGGCAGGGAACACGCCUGGAGCAGCACAGAGAGGACUCGUGUCUGUAAGCCUAAUUAUUCAAUAGCAACAUCCUCUGAGUCAUAAAAGUGCAUCGGGGAAAGUUUUCUUGUGUUGCAUUUGUUGCAUGCAUGCAGCGCUGUGGGAAGCAUGAUGCAGAAACCCAUCCAGCUCUCCCUGGGGACUGAAGUAGACUCAAGCUAAAAGAGGUUUUGCGUCUUUAAUUUCUAUUAUUCUGCAAAUUACGUUAUGGAUGAACUUUAUACCCUCCUCAUGUCCGUUGAUGGUAACUGAUGAGUUUUCAAUUGUGCCUCAUUGAAGUUAAACAUCUGAGAGAUACUUUGCUUAAUAGUUUGCCUUUCAGAGCACUGCAUUAGCUCCCUUGUGCUCCAGUCUGCUUAAUUUAGAGCGAGUGCCCGAAAGUGGUGCAAUUAAGGAAGGAAUCUUGGGCAAAAGCUCUUGGUGCUUUCAAAUGACCAGCAGACCCUUCAGUGCUGGCUUGUUUUUACCAUAGCUAGAACAACACUUUCCGUGACUCACUCUUCAUUAUUCUCUGGAUUCACAAACAAAUGUUUUUAACCUCUUUCUGUUGUAUCUGAGAAUAAUUAAACCCUCAUCUCUGUCUCUGA